AACGAACGCUGGCGGCGCGCCUAAUACAUGCAAGUCGAGCGAGAAGGUGUAGCAAUACACUUGUAAAGCGGCGAACGGGUGAGGAAUACAUGGGUGACCUACCAUUGAGUGGGGAAUAACCAGCCGAAAGGCUGGCUAAUACCGCGUACGCUUCCGGAUUUUCGAGUUCGGAAGGAAAGCGAUACCGUGGGUAUCGCGCUCUUUGAUGGGCUCAUGUCCUAUCAGCUUGNGGUAGGGUAACGGCCUACCAAGGCUUUGACGGGUAGCUGGUCUGAGAGGACGAUCAGCCACACUGGCACUGCGACACGGGCCAGACUCCUACGGGAGGCAGCAGUAAGGAAUAUUGCGCAAUGGGCGAAAGCCUGACGCAGCGACGCCGCGUGGGGGAUGAAGGUCUUCGGAUUGUAAACCCC
rnacentral:rRNA from 1 species